AAAAUCUGUUUGGUAUAUGAAGAAAGAAAGUGUCAAUGUAUGAGCAGUAGACCAAUGUGGAAUUCUUCAAAGUCUUGCCUCAAUACUUCAUCCUGAUUUCUGAACUCAUAGAUGUUUGUCAUAUCCAGCUGCCUUUAUAAAGAGAAGCGUGUUGUUCUGUCUCAGUGUCAUAGAUAGUAGGGAAGAAGGAUAGAAGAGCAGUAUGGAUGGAAGUGAUCCACUGGGUCCUUAUGACAGUGAAUGAAGACACCAUUGGAGGAGAGAAAAUGUACAAAACUUGCAGAUAGACCAGGCCAAUGACCAAAGGUUUUUCCUGACAUCAUCAGUGAGACAGAUUUAAACCUGUACAAAGGACAGUGGUUCUGAGAGACAGAACAAGAGAGAGAAAGUUUGGGUUACACUACUUGAUGCCUGGAUUCAGCUUUCAGGGAAUUUUUGAUCAUGUAAGAUAAUACAU
rnacentral:sRNA from 1 species